AAGAGACUGUACAAAAACCUGAACACAGAUAUCUGACUCCUCUUCAAAGAGGAGGGAAGUGGUAUUCAAACCACAGCUUCAUAUCAGAUGGAUUCUGCUAAUUCCUCUUUUAUCAGAGUCACUGUGGUUACAGCUGCUACAACAUACAGUGAUAUGAGAGGAGGAACAGGCUGAGGGAGGAGCAACACUGUCAAAGAGCAGGACAGACAACAACUCCCACUGUCAGAUGCAUUCAAUAUCUAAAGCAUACAUAACACAGAUACUGUGUGUAAGAUGCUCUCACUGCUUUACUGUGGAAUGUUUCCUUUGGUUCUCAUCAUACUAAAAGGUGUCAGCUGUGAACAACUGACUCCAGUCAAGGAUGAAGAGUUCGGUUCAGAAGGCAGCUCUGUUACUCUGUCCUACACAUACUCCAAAAAAGCUGAUGCCACUGAUUAUUUCUUCUGGUAUCAACAACAUCCAGGAAAACCACCACAGCUCCUCAUCUCUCACACAGGGAAAGGAGAAAUCUUAAAUCCAGGCUCUGGACUGACGGUUACUGUGAGUCGGGAUCAAACCCAAAUGGAUCUGCAGAUCUCCUCUGCUGCAGUGACAGACUCUGCUGUGUACUACUGUGCUGUGAGGCCCACAGUGACAGGAAACAGCACAACUCUGUACAAAAACACAAGCUGACUCACUGACAAGCUGCUGGAAGCCUUUUUUCCAACAAAGUGCUGAACUCAACUUUUUGCCUCCACUAGAGGGCGACAUUAUGAAGUAGGCGGUGCACUACUUGUGCUCUCUGUUCAAGCAUUGUGUCAAUAAUAACUGCUGCUGUGAAGAGAAGAAUUGUCAGACUCAGUGUUGAACAUCAGCUACUUUCUCC